AAGUCGUAACAAGGUUUCCGUAGGUGAACCUGCGGAAGGAUCAUUAUCGAAUUAAAGAAGAUGGUGCAAGCGUGAAGACUGUGCUGGCCUCGUCAGGCAUGUGCACGUCCAACGCUGACACUGUCGUUCUCUCUCACACCUGUGCACCUAUUGUAGGUCCUCGAAAGAGGAUCUAUGUUUUUCUACACACCCAUCGUAUGUCUACAGAAUGUUUAGAUCGAGUCUCAUCGAACGGAGGUUGAAAGGCCUUUCUAAUAGAGGACUUGAACGAAAUUUAUACAACUUUCAGCAACGGAUCUCUUGGCUCUCGCAUCGAUGAAGAACGCAGCGAAUUGCGAUAAGUAAUGUGAAUUGCAGAUUUUCAGUGAAUCAUCGAAUCUUUGAACGCACCUUGCGCUCCUUGGUAUUCCGAGGAGCAUGCCUGUUUGAGUGUCAGUGAAUUCAUCAACCAUGUCUGUAAUGCAUGCAUGGCUUGGAGUUGGGAGUUGCUGGUCGAUCAUGAUCAGCUCUCCUGAAAUGUAUUAGCAAAGGGUCAAGUUUGACAUGCACGGCCUUGGACGUGAUAGUUGAUCGUCCUAGCUGGAAGUGUCUACGUCUUUGAUCGCUCUGCUUCCAACAUGGGUGAAUGGCUUAUUAGUCUGGUUUGGACGAAAGGCUUGUCAC
rnacentral:rRNA from 1 species